UGGGGAAUUUUGGACAAUGGGGGCAACCCUGAUCCAGCCAUUCCGCGUGAGUGAAGAAGGCCUUCGGGUUGUAAAGCUCUUUCGCAAGGGAAGAAACGAUACAGUCGAAUAAACUGUGUUAAUGACGGUACCUUGAUAAGAAGCACCGGCUAACUACGUG
rnacentral:rRNA from 1 species